rnacentral:rRNA from 1 species
AUGGCCUUGCCGGUGAUCCCCAGCAAGCUCCUGGCGGAUAUCUUCCUCCGCCUUCCCACCCCAGAGGACCUCAUCCGCGCCUCCGCCGUCUGCGUCUCCUUCCGCCGCCUCGUCGCCGACCGCGCCUUCCUCCGGCGCUUCCGCAAGCUCCACCCUCCGCCCCUCCUCGGCUUCGUCGACUACAGCGGCUUCCACCCCGCCGAACCGCCUCAUCCCUCCGCGCCGGCGGCCAGCGCCGUCGCCGACGACGACUUCGACUUCGACUUCGGCUUCCUCCCCGGGUCCUCCUUGGACUGGACCGUGCGUGAGGUCCGCGACGGCCGCGUCCUCCUCGACAGACCCGGCCGUCACGAGCCCCUCUUCAAGGAGACGGUGGUGUGCGACCCCCUGCACCGGCAGUACCUCCUGCUUCCCCCGAUCCCCGGUGACGUAGCCGCUUCGGUUGCGGUCCAACUCCUGAUAGAGAGGCGGGGCUUCGCCGAUUGCUUCCUCGUCCCUUCCGGCGACGAAGAAGAGGCAGACACAACGGAGGAGACGUCGUUCAGAGUGAUCUGGCUGGUGGUGCUUGAAAAUAAACCGGUCGCCGCUGUCUUCUCUUCCACCACAGGGCAAUGGCGAGCCAUUACACCCCUGAUUUGGAGCUUACCUGGCUUACAGUUAUCGACAUGGAAGUUUUGGUUCGUGUCGCGCCACUGCGCGCAUGGCUGCUUCUACUGGAUUUCAGGUUCAAUUGAAAAAUUGAUCGUGCUUGACAUCCGUAAGAUGGAGUUCUCCAUGGUUGAUCACCCACCCUGUGCCAGACAUUUGGGCGAUGAUGUGGCCAUCGCGGAGGGAGGCCAAGGCAGGACUAUGAUGUUUGUGCCUAAACCAGACACAAAAUGCCUUAUUUAUACUGUUUGGUGGCGAAAUAAUGGUGGGAAUUCCACCCAGUGGCAGAUGGAGAAGACAAUCUCGCUGGAUUCUGACUGCGUAAUCGAGGGUGCAGUUGGGAGGCACUUGCUCCUAUAUUAUGUCGGAGUCUCGUCGGCCAAGCAAGGUUGUUACACGCAGGACGUCGACACAUUGCAGCUUGAGAGGGUGUGUUAUUCAUGUCCAAAACAGUCACAAGUAUAUUGCAACUUCCCACCAUCGUUAUUAUCAUCACCGACAGUGUCAAGUGUCCCACGCCACGCCGACCACCGAGGAGUGGACGACGCUGUGCCGGCACCAGAACCACGAGAAGCUGACCUCGCUGGGGGACCGCCGUGCAAGCGCGGUCGUCGCAGCGGCCGCUCGGGCUCCAGAACCCGCGGAGGCGGGUCGCGGUGGACGGGGAGAAGGAGGCUGAGGCUUGACCCGUGGUGGACGAGGGCCUGGGGGCGGAUGAGGGGCCAGAUCAAGGUGUUGUCCAGGACGGCUGCGACCAAGUCCUUGGGCGGCAGGGGCUUGCCUUGA